CAGCCGCCGCGGGAAUACAGAGGGUGCGAGCGUUAAUCGGAUUUACUGGGCGUAAAGCGUGCGUAGGCGGCUUCUUAAGUCGGAUGUGAAAUCCCUGAGCUUAACUUAGGAAUUGCAUUCGAUACUGGGAAGCUAGAGUAUGGGAGAGGAUGGUAGAAUUCCAGGUGUAGCGGUGAAAUGCGUAGAGAUCUGGAGGAAUACCGAUGGCGAAGGCAGCCAUCUGGCCUAAUACUGACGCUGAGGUACGAAAGCAUGGGGAGCAAACAGGAUUAGAUACCCGCGUAGUCCCUGUCUCUUAUAA
rnacentral:rRNA from 1 species